UAGACAUUGGUUGGAAUAAAGAUUUUACAUUUAGUGUCAGUGACAACUACAGUGCUUGAUAUGUAAAGCUGAUCUAUUAAUCAGAUCUAUGGAAAUAGAUUACAGGGUGACGUCUUCGACUGUGAAUGAUUACUCGACAGUAAACAUGUCAAAUGUACUUCAUAAAAAUCAUCACUCCUGGCAUCCCUCAUUAUCUUUAAAAAAAGGACCUUGCACAUUUCCAGUGUUCCAAACUGUAAUCAACCAUUCGUGUGUUCCUUACGGAUCUUCGCUCCUGCUUUACUUGUGAAGUCCUGACUAUUUUCUUGCGUGGAAGUGAAUUUGGCAGUGUGGAAUCUGAAGAACACUGACAGGUAAAGAAGCAAGCUGCCAAUUCACCAUCACUGGACUUUGGUUGGCACAAUUGUCAAAGAUAAACCUCACCCUUGUUCCUUGCUCAGUUCUGGAGAAUCCCAUAGAGCUUCAGAAAACACCCUCAGAUGCCAUUGAGUCAAACAUGUGUACGGGAGUGUGAACUGGAAGAGAAGCAGGACACUGGAAAACCCAUCAAACUACAUGCCAAUAGGGCUGGCCUUCCUCUGCCACCAGAUGCCCAGCCCACCCAGAGUUCCUGAUCCAUCCGAGGAAGCAGCACUUGUACUCAACAUCACCACUGAGGACAUUGUGGCUACUGGACACCCAGUCCAUAGAUAAGGAAUGUGGUUCACAAGGUACUCUACUGGAUUGUCAACCUGGAAUAUGUAUCUGGAUCAGUGGUGCUGGAAGAGCACAGCAAUUCAGGCAGCAUCCAACGAGCAGCGAAAUCGACGUUUCGGACGUUACCUCGUUUUAACCUGGAAUAUGUACUCAAGUACUUGGGUGGAGGAUGUACUCUUUUUAAAAACUCUUUUUAAAGCUAUAUAAUCUACUAUUUUAACCAAGUAUUGUCAACACUUAACAGUUGGUGCCAUCAUUAAUUGGAAGUAUACUAUAUGGUAUGUUGUAAAGAAUUGAUAUUUGCUUGAAGAUCACAGGAGGUGUCAGCCAGUGGGUAACUUCAAGGUACUAAUCAAUGUCACAACAAAUCUUCUUUUGUUUGACCAACACUCCUGUCAAGUGCCUUGGGAUAUUUUGCAAUAUUAAAGAGACUACAUAAAUGCAAUUUGUAGCUGUUUGUUGGUGCAUCUAAAUAUAAUGCAUCUCACUGCAAGAAUGCCAGAUGCAACAUACCAGUGACUGACAGUUCGCACUCACCCUAACACUGAAAUUAAUUUCUGAUGUGGCAGACACUGAAUACAAAGAAGUUGCUACUGUAUUUAAUAUUUCAAAUGAGGCUAUAGGAUCAAUUUUGAAGAAACAAAAUCUGAAUAUCCUGCUGGCUUCCUCCUCCCCUACACCUCUCCCCUUCCCCACCUGCUCCCCCUCAGUCCUUUUGUGAUUUUAGCUUAACACUCAUGCUCAGUAUGUGAAAAAGGAUUUAUACAGAAACAGACUGAAGAUGUAGCAGAGGCCUGUUCUGUUUGCCAGGGUCUUACUGGGAUGGUCCAUUUCAUUCAGUUGUAAUGCCCUUUUGUUGACAGAAGUAAAUUGAUGACAGUCAAGAGAGAAGCAUUUGCUGGAAAAAUUCUGUUGACCCUACUCAGAUUGGAGUUCCCACUAAGCAGGGUACCAACAGUUGCGGACAUGAUAGAUUAUUGUAAUGACCAGCCGAAUGGCCUUUAGUCAUGUUUAAAUGGCAAUAAAUUUUACCAGGAAGAGGGCAAUUUAACCACUUAAGGGGAGAGAGAGGAUCUUUUCUGUUUGAGAUGUAAAUAAAGUACGGCUCAUUAAGAGAACACAUAUUACAUGGCUGGCUCAUUGAUGGAGCUGUGAUUGUUAAUAUUUAAUUUGAUUUUUCCUGACCAGGUUUGAGGUUUCCUGUGUACAAAACACCCGUAAGGAGCAAACAUAUUCCCUGACAGCAGAUAAAAAUGAAGUUGACAGCUUCAUCUUCUGUAUGAUAGACACUGAUCUGAAGAUAUAGUAAACAGUCUAUAAUAGUAUGUAAAUGAAGUAGCCUGUGCCAACAAGUGACUACUUUUCCUUUUA